GCGCUCCGGGACGGGCCUGCGGCCCAUCAGGUAGUUGGUGAGGUAAUGGCUCACCAAGCCUCUGACGGGUCCCUGGUCUGAGAGGACGACCAGGCAGACUGGGACUGAGACACGGCCCAG
rnacentral:rRNA from 1 species